AACGAACGCUGGCGGCAUGCCUAACACAUGCAAGUCGAACGAGACCUUCGGGUCUAGUGGCGCACGGGUGCGUAACGCGUGGGAAUCUGCCCUUAGGUACGGAAUAACUCAGGGAAACUUGAGCUAAUACCGUAUAAUGACUCCGGUCCAAAGAUUUAUCGCCUAGGGAUGAGCCCGCGUCGGAUUAGCUAGUUGGUGAGGUAAAAGCUCACCAAGGCGACGAUCCGUAGCUGGCUGAGAGGAUGAUCAGCCACACUGGGACUGAGACACGGCCCAGACUCC
rnacentral:rRNA from 1 species